GAGGGUAUAGCUCAGUGGUAGAGCACAUGCCUAGCAUGCGCAAGGGUCCUGGGUUCAAUCCCCAGGACCUCCU
rnacentral:tRNA from 1 species